GAGUUUGAUCCUGGCUCAGAUUGAACGCUGGCGGCAUGCCUUACACAUGCAAGUCGAACGGCAGCAUGAUCUAGCUUGCUAGAUUGAUGGCGAGAGGCGAACGGGUGAGUAAUACAUCGGAACGUGCCCUGUAGUGGGGGAUAACUAGUCGAAAGAUUAGCUAAUACCGCAUACGACCUGAGGGUGAAAGUGGGGGACCGCAAGGCCUCAUGCUAUAGGAGCGGCCGAUGUCUGAUUAGCUAGUUGGUGGGGUAAAGGCCCACCAAGGCGACGAUCAGUAGCUGGUCUGAGAGGACGAUCAGCCACACUGGGACUGAGACACGGCCCAGACUCCUACGGGAGGCAGCAGUGGGGAAUUUUGGACAAUGGGCGAAAGCCUGAUCCAGCAAUGCCGCGUGUGUGAAGAAGGCCUUCGGGUUGUAAAGCACUUUUGUCCGGAAAGAAAUGGCUCUGGUUAAUACCUGGGGUCGAUGACGGUACCGGAAGAAUAAGGACCGGCUAACUACGUGCCAGCAGCCGCGGUAAUACGUAGGGUCCAAGCGUUAAUCGGAAUUACUGGGCGUAAAGCGUGCGCAGGCGGUUGUGCAAGACCGAUGUGAAAUCCCCGAGCUUAACUUGGGAAUUGCAUUGGUGACUGCACGGCUAGAGUGUGUCAGAGGGGGGUAGAAUUCCACGUGUAGCAGUGAAAUGCGUAGAGAUGUGGAGGAAUACCGAUGGCGAAGGCAACCCCCUGGGAUAACACUGACGCUCAUGCACGAAAGCGUGGGGAGCAAACAGGAUUAGAUACCCUGGUAGUCCAC
rnacentral:rRNA from 1 species